CCCUUAGACGUUCUGGGCCGCACGCGCGUUACACUGACGAAGGCAACGAGCUUUCCUUUACCGAAAGGUACGGGUAAUCUUUUGAAACUUCGUCGUGCUGGGGAUAGAUCCUUGCAAUUAUUGAUCUUAAACGAGGAAUUCCUAGUAAGCGCAAGUCAUCAACUUGCGUUGAUUACGUCCCUGCCCUUUGUACACACCGCCCGUCGCUACUACCGAUUGAAUGGUUUAGUGAGGCCUUCGGAUCCGCGACUCGUUUUGUGGAGAAGUUGGACAAACUCAGUCAUUUAGAGGAAGUAAAAGUCGUAACA
rnacentral:rRNA from 1 species